GCGGGGAUGGCACAACUCGGUACUGCGCCGGUCUCGAAAACCGGUUUCCAUUAGGAUAUCUGGGUUCAAAUCCCAGUCCCCGCG
rnacentral:tRNA from 1 species